rnacentral:rRNA from 1 species
GACAGAGGUGCCGAGCGUUAGGCGGAAUCACUGGGCUUAAAGCGUGUGUAGGCGGACUUCUAAGUACCUUGUGAAAUCCCACGGCUCACCCGUGGAACUGCUGGGCAUACUGGCGAUCUUGGGCCAACUAGGGGCAGUCGGAACAAGCGGUGGAGCGGUGAAAUGCGUAGAUAUCGCUUGGAACGCCGAAGGUGAAAACAGACUGCUGGGGUUGCGCCGACGCUGAGACACGAAAGCCAGGGGAGCAAACGGGG